UGGGGAAUAAUCCCGGGAAACUGGGGCUAAUACCCCAUAGAUUAUGAAUGCUGGAAUGCUUCGUAGUUCAAAGGUCAGCCGCCUUAGGAUGAGUCUGCGGCCGAUUAGGUAGUUGUUGGGGUAACGGCCCAACAAGCCUGUAAUCGGUACGGGUUGUGGGAGCAAGAGCCCGGAGAUGGAUUCUGAGACACAAAUCCAGGCCCUACGGGGCGCAGCAGGCGCGAAAACUUUACAAUGUGGGAAACCGUGAUAAGGGAACUCCGAGUGCCCGUUAAAUCGGGCUGUCCACCAGUUUAAAAAACUGGUGAAGAAAGGGCCGGGCAAGACCGGUGCCAGCCGCCGCGGUAAUACCGGCGGCUCGAGUGGUGGCCACUAUUACUGGGCUUAAAGCGUUCGUAGCUGGUUUGUUAAGUCUCUGGGGAAAUCUUCCGGCUUAACCGGAAGGCGUCUCAGGGAUACUGGCAGACUAGGGACCGGAAGAGGUGAGGGGUACUCCAGGGGUAGGAGUGAAAUCCUGUAAUCCUUGGGGGACCACCUGUGGCGAAGGCGCCUCACCAGGACGGCUCCGACAGUGAGGGACGAAAGCUGGGGGAGCAAACCGGAUUAGAUACCCGGGUAGUCCCAGCCGUAAACGAUGUGCGUUAGGUGUAUCGGUGACCACGAGUCACCGAGGUGCCGAAGAGAAAUCGUGAAACGUACCGCCUGGGAAGUACGGUCGCAAGGCUGAAACUUAAAGGAAUUGGCGGGGGAG
rnacentral:rRNA from 1 species